rnacentral:rRNA from 1 species
CAGUCGCCACGGUAAUACGUAGGGUGCAAGCGUUAAUCGGAAUUACUGGGCGUAAAGCGUGCGUAGGCGGUGAGUUAAGUCUGCUGUGAAAUCCCCGGGCUCAACCUGGGAAUGGCAGUGGAUACUGGCUCGCUAGAGUGUGUCAGAGGAUGGUGGAAUUCCCGGUGUAGCGGUGAAAUGCGUAGAGAUCGGGAGGAACAUCAGUGGCGAAGGCGGCCAUCUGGGACAACACUGACGCUGAGGCACGAAAGCGUGGGGAGCAAACAGGAUUAGAUACCCCCGUAGUCCCUGUCUCUUAUAA